rnacentral:rRNA from 1 species
UACGUAGGGGGCGAGCGUUGUCCGGAUUUAUUGGGCGUAAAGCGCGCGUAGGCGGCCCGGUAAGUCCGCUGUGAAAGUCAAAGGCUCAACCUUUGAAUGUCAGCGGAUACUGCCGGGCUAGAGUCCGGAAGAGGGUCGUGGAAUUCCCAGUGUAGAGGUGAAAUUCGUAGAUAUUGGGAAGAACACCGGUGGCGAAGGCGGCGACCUGGUCCGAUACUGACGCUGAGGCGCGAAAGCGUGGGGAGCAAACAGG